UACGUAGGGGGCGAGCGUUGUCCGGAGAUACUGGGCGUAAAGCGCUUGUAGGCGGUCCACCAAGUUUGGGGUGACAGUUGCCGACUUAAUCGGCAAAGUGCCUCAAAGACUGGCGGACUUGAGGGCCACAGAGGGACAUGGAACUCCAGGUGUAGUGGUGAAAUGCGUAGAUAUCUGGAAGAACACCAAAGGCGAAGGCAGUGUCCUGGGUGGUCGCUGACGCUGAGAGGCGAAAGCCAGGGGAGCGAACGGG
rnacentral:rRNA from 1 species